rnacentral:rRNA from 1 species
CAGCCGCCGCGGGAAUACGUAGGUGGCAAGCGUUAUCCGGAAUUAUUGGGCGUAAAGCGCGCGUAGGCGGUUUUUUAAGUCUGAUGUGAAAGCCCACGGCUCAACCGUGGAGGGUCAUUGGAAACUGGAAAACUUGAGUGCAGAAGAGGAAAGUGGAAUUCCAUGUGUAGCGGUGAAAUGCGCAGAGAUAUGGAGGAACACCAGUGGCGAAGGCGACUUUCUGGUCUGUAACUGACGCUGAUGUGCGAAAGCGUGGGGAUCAAACAGGAUUAGAUUCCCCCGUAGUCCCUGUCUCUUAUAC